rnacentral:lncRNA from 1 species
GCCAUUUCAAGUCAGCCUGUUCCAUCGGUCAUAUGUGCUGGCAAGUUGCGGGGAAUUGGAGGUAAAUCACGAGGCAAUUUACUUGGGAUUGACAGCUAUAAAAUACAGUUUUUGACAUAUUUGUUGAGCAAUCUUUCCACUCUAAAGGAGAGAAUUUUUAAGGAAUUUAGAGGUUUAGAGUAACCUUAUAAAGUAACUUAAUAACAUAACUUUGUUCUCCAAAAACUUUACUGUCUUUUCAAUUUUCUGGUUCUUCUUCAUUUCUUCUCCACAACUUUAUCACAGCUUCUGUUUUUCUUACUCUCCUUAUGGUGUUUUUAUGGGACUUUUUCUGACAUGCCCACACCACCUAAAAUAAGCUUACCAUAUUUUAUACAAUGGGAGUUAUCUCAACUUUUUUUCUACUGUUUAUUCAAUUCAGGGUUAAAAACUAUGUAAUGGACUAAUUGUAAAACCUAACUUUCUUUUUUAGGUGCUGCACUAUAUGUAAAGAGAAGUGACAUAUUGGCUCUCGCUAUAGGUAUGAUGAACUCUUCGAUCCUCUACGAUCAAUGAUUGGUUCAUUGUGUCAUUGACGGGUGAUAAUUCUGCAUUUCACAAUGAAUGCUUGAAUAAAAUGAUUUGCUUAGAUCGAGUAGAACUUCUGUUUCAUGAAUGGUGUGUUUAUCAACUGGUAACAAUUAGAGCAACUAUGGAAGAAAGGAAGUAGGUUGCUUCAAUUGUUUUACAUGCAAUAAGGCAUUCUUUAGAGCCAAGUGCAUUUCAGAUAUGGCUCAAUAAAUGUUAUAUUUCAUUUAGAGUGAAUCGCCGUUUAAGUCUAUAAAAUUAUAGGGGUUGAAAUUUUUAACGUUAGUCCUUUUGGGUUGGUCAAUAUAGUCCUUGAAACUGUCUUGAAGAGACUAAUGUGAUUGAAAAUUUUCGAUUUCAAGGAUCAUUUUAGAAUAUGUUAAUUUUAGGGGCUAAAUUGCACGAUGUCGUGACCAAUACUAUUUUUAGACUGAAAUAGGUUAUUCGCUCUUUUGUUUUAUGUUGUAUGAUGUGCCUGUGCUAGGUGGUACUUACCUAAAAAUUCUUGAUUGGCCCAUUAGUUCAUAUGUUGAUGCUAUCUGAUGAAUGGAAAAUUUAAAUUUCAUCACUGUAUUUGUUGGUCGAGGGUUGAGUACCUCAACUGGUUUCAACUAAGGGUUAAGGAGUUGGAGGUCCUGGGAUCAAUUUUCGGUAACGUAGGACGUUGUCUAUGACAGUGAUUAUAAUUAUGAUGUGUUGUUCAAUUUUAAUAUUUAAGGCUCAUUCUACGCAUGCUGAUAACUUAAUCCUGCCAAGCCCUGUAUAUUAACAUUGAUUAGUUGCUCAAUAUUAUAGGUGGAUAUCUAGAAGUACCAAGUGUCCAAGAAAAUAGAGAGUGAAGGGGAAAAGCUAAAGAACUUUGCUGAGGCUUUAUGGAAAAACCUUAAGAUGUAUUUCAAUGAUAUUCUAGAAAAUACAGAAGCAAAUAUGUGUCUGGUUAUCGAUGCUCGUAUUUGGAGGAUUCUGUAAAUUGAUCCAUCUUCUGCUGCUAGUUCAGGUUGAAGUUGAACUAGUGAUAAAUGAUAAUAAUAAACUAAUGUUGU